CUUAUAAAUCACAAAGAUGAAAAGUAGAAAAGUUAAGUAAAAGAUAUGAACAGGUAAGUCCUAAAAAAGGGCAGUAGAAAAACUAAAUAUCCACAAAUACUGAAUGGAUAGACUGUGACCUAUUCACACAAUAGAAUGUUAAACAAUGAAUAUGAACCAAUCAUAGUUACAUAUAUUCCAGUAUAGGUGAACUUCACAGUGGAAAGAGUAAACAACUUACAGAAGAGCCUGCAACUUACAGUUAGCUACAUUACAUAUAUAUAAUCUUAAAACAUUGCUUAGAGAGCUGUGACAGAGCUGAUAACUCACCAGAGCAACUGGGAAUGGCUGAACCAGUUGUUUAUGGCCAGUAUCUAUCAUGAGUGGUAGAUAUUUUGAAAGUGACCCUUACCAUUCUCAUGCAACAGAACCGUAAAAAAAAAAAAAAAAAAUGCAUGUGUAUGAUAAACACCAAAUUUAGGAUGGCAGUUACCUCUAGGGAGGAAGAGGUCACAACCACAUAAGUAAUAUUUUAUUUCUUAACUAGGAUGCUAAAGCACUUGAGCACUUAACAGUAAUCUUUUCAAAAGACCCAACAUGUGUUGUCCCACCUUGUGCCCAUUCCCAACUCUUGCCUGCACAUACAGGCUAUAAAAGCUCAAACUGUCACCUUUUCAGCAGCUUUGGCAGAUAUCAGAAGCCACACAACACAAUACCAUCCAAGUAGAUGGAUAUGAAGUGCAAGCCCUGCCCUUUCCCCCUCCUCCUGUCUAGGAGGCAGACAUAGACUUGGGCUGCGUCUGGGAAUGAGCUGGAAAGGCCAAGAGGAUGACAGAGAUGCUGACCUUAAAGCUGUCAAGGAUAUGCCCCAAUGUUAGCAGCUGGCAGUUGUUAAGAGUUUGAUGAAAAGAGGAAACUGCAUGAAGGAAGGCCAAGGGCAAAGGUUCUCAACCAUUUGGUCCAUGUGGGGAGAUUUUAGAAAUACCAAUGCCCAGGUUUUGACUCUCCAGAUUCUGAUUUAAUUGCUCUGGGAUGUGGCCUGAGCAUUAGGAUUUUUUUCUUUUAAAGUUUCUUAAGUGAUUCAGCCAGGGUUGAAACCAAAUUCUAGGGGCACACAGAGAGCAACUAAUGUACUCACUAUCCAGUGAUUCAGAUUUCUUAUUAUGCACAACCAAGAAAUACUACUGUCAUUGAAUUUUAUCUUACUAGAAGUUUAAUGUAUCCCUAACUGAUGUAAUUAUACUGUUUCUAAAGGCUGGCCCAAGAAUAUACAUACAUAAAAAAUGGUGAA
rnacentral:lncRNA from 1 species